rnacentral:rRNA from 1 species
GACGAACGCUGGCGGCGUGCUUAACACAUGCAAGUCGAACGAUGAAGCCGGAGCUUGCUCUGGUGGAUUAGUGGCGAACGGGUGAGUAACACGCGAGUAACCUGCCCUUGACUCUGGGAUAAGCGUUGGAAACGACGUCUAAUACCGGAUACGAGCUAGGACCGCAUGGUCACUAGCUGGAAAGAACUUCGGUCAAGGAUGGACUCGCGGCCCAUCAGCUAGUUGGUGAGGUAACGGCUCACCAAGGCGACGACGGGUAGCCGGCCUGAGAGGGUGACCGGCCACACUGGGACUGAGACACGGCCCAGACUCCUACGGGAGGCAGCAGUGGGGAAUAUUGCACAAUGGGCGCAAGCCUGAUGCAGCAACGCCGCGUGAGGGACGACGGCCUUCGGGUUGUAAACCUCUUUUAGCGGGGAAGAAGCGCAAGUGACGGUACCUGCAGAAAAAGCACCGGCUAACUACGUGCCAGCAGCCGCAGUAACAC